rnacentral:rRNA from 1 species
GAGUUUGAUCCUGGCUCAGGAUUAACGCUGGCGGCAUGCCUAAUACAUGCAAGUCGAACGGAGUAGUAAUACUUAGUGGCGAACGGGUGAGUAACACGUAUCUAAUCUACCAUUUAGUGGGGAAUAACUGUUGGAAACGACAGCUAAUACCGCAUAAUAUUGCUGGAUAAUUUCCAGUAAUGAAAGGAGCUUUCAAGCUCCGCUGAUUGAUGAGGAUGCGGCGCAUUAGCUAGUUGGUAGGGUAAUGGCCUACCAAGGCAAUGAUGCGUAGCCGAUCUGAGAGGAUGAACGGCCACAUUGGGACUGAGACACGGCCCAAACUUCUACGGAAGGCAGCAGUAGGGAAUUUUUCACAAUGGGCGAAAGCCUGAUGGAGCAAUGCCGCGUGACUGAUGAAGGUCUUCGGAUUGUAAAGGUCUGUUGUAAGGGAAGAAAUGGUAAAACAGGAAAUGGUUUUAUCUAUGACGGUACCUUACCAGAAAGCCACGGCUAACUAUGUGCCAGCAGCCGCGGUAAUACAUAGGUGGCAAGCGUUAUCCGGAUUUAUUGGGCGUAAAGGGUGCGUAGACGGUUUUGCAAGUCUGAGGUUAAAUUUAGGAGCUCAACUCCUAAUCGCCUUGGAAACUACAAGACUAGAGUAUAGGAGAGGUUAGUGGAAUUCCAUGUGUAGCGGUGGAAUGUGUAGAUAUAUGGAGGAACACCAGUGGC